UUAACCUUUAAGGGAAGUCCAGAGAGGCUCACAAGGUGUCAGAUAGAAAAUAGAUUACACAAACUUCGAAUAAACACAGUUUAUUUGAUUCUUUUCUGUAAGUAUCUUACUGAAACCUUGCGAUUGCAAGGUUUUUCUUUUU
rfam:Streptococcus infantis SK1302 contig91, whole genome shotgun sequence.